rnacentral:lncRNA from 1 species
CAAAAUGUGAUGGAUUAUUAAUUUGUCUUCCCUUAAUGCCAUUGGUUUUUCUUAUUAUGUCAUAUUUCUUGAAAAAACUACAAAAGAUACAUUUCUAGUUGUUGUUCCUGUAUUGUAGUAGUGGUCACAGCAACAGCUUCAUGCUUCUCUAAAGUAGCAUUUGCAAUUCUUUCCUCACAUCAACCUGUAAUGUAAGGAAAGUGAAACGAUAAAAAAAGAUUGAAAAGUUGUUCUCUAGAUAGCAUUCCACUGCUUUGCAUUUCCGAAGCUAUUAAAAUCCAAAAUGUAGCAUGUAGCAUCAAUACAUCAUUAACUAAACCAUAACACUUUUUACAUUGCAUUGUAUCAACAUAGAAUACUUGUUAUCAUAACAUUAUCUAUUCAAUACUUGUUAUCAUAACAUUAUCUAUUCAAUACUUGUUAUCAUAACAUAUCACUUUAAAAAGAAAACAUACAAAAAUCAUACCUCAUCAAAAUUAAAUGGCAAAUAACAAACACAUUAUAAACACUAUUUGGUACUAUAAUUUUCGAAAUCUAUUUUUCUUAUAUUAAAUAAUAAAAGUAAAAUGAUAGAAAAAUUCAACUAAUAACAUUUACAUACAAGUAAAAUAUUUUGGUAUAAUUAAUAAAUAACUCACAUAACUAAAUACUACUAUAAAUAACUCACAUAGUUUCGGUUCGAAUAUUUAACAUUCAAUUUGAAAUAUAACUUAAGAACAAAAAAUUAUUUUUUAAUAGACCAAAAAAACAAAAAAUUCAUCCAAACCAAUAAAAAUAUAGAAGACAAAAUAUAGAAGAGUGUGGAUUAUAAGCAUAUUUGGUUUUCAUUAUUUUGGUAAAAAAACAGCCAAAAUUUCUAUGUUGAACAUUUUGAUUAUAAGCUUACUCUCUCUAUUUGGAGGAUUUGAAUGAUAUGUAUGAAAUGAUUUGAGAUUCUACAAGAUGUUUUGUUCACCACUAUAAGUAUUCAGCUUGGAUAUUUAAUACCAUCUCAGGCAUGCCAUUUAUGAUGUGUAAUUUUUGGCGAGUGCAUGGCUUACAACGCCUUGCAGAUCCAGGAUGUAUAUGUCAAUGGAAUGAUCUUAUAGUCCUUAAAUCAUCCAGCUUAAUAUUAAAUUUGAUAUUGAGUUUAAUAAGUUAUUAUCAUAAAUCAGAGAAAUAAAGGAAAAUGAAUUGUUUUUGGUAUUUUGAUGCUUGAUUGGGAUGGACAAUGAAUUAUGUGUUACAUUGAGCAUUUAUGCCACAAACAUGGUAAACCGCUAUUUGACUUGGAAUUUUGUUAGUUCUUGACUUACAUCCAUUUUGUUAUUAUUAUUGUGUUGAUGAAACAAUUCAAACUACAUGUGACUGUGCUGUCUUGUGUAAAAGGUAUUUUCUUGCUGUAACUUUAAUUAUUGAUUAUUGAUAAGCAUUUUUUUUAAUGAAGGCUUGUUUGAUGUAUAAUCAAAUUACCUACAGUGAUAUCUGAUAUCUAAUUGUUGAGAGAUAAUUUUUUGUGAUGGAUAGAUGCUGACAACAUGUCGAACUUUCCCGCUUCUGGUUUUUCUUCAAAGGAACUGGCAUCCACUCAAGCCAACCUUCCAAAAGACAUACUAUCUCUUCCAAAAUCUAGUUCUUCAAUACCGAAAUACUCAUAUGACUCGAGCUAUUCUAGGCCACCACAUUCUGGUUCCUCGUCAAAAGACCUCAAAGCUUCCAUCUUAAGUGAACUGAAAAACGACGCUGAUCUCCAAUCAGAUUUGUGUGGAGUCACAAACAAGUGAUUGUAGGUAAUUUGUGUGGAGUAAAAAAAGUGCAAAGUACAAUCAGAUUUGUGUGGAGUCACAAACAAGUGAUUGCAUAAGCAUCUAUCCGACAAUCUUAAUUUUAAUUACAGAAUUUUAUGUUAAACAAUUAAAAACUGUCUUAAGAUUUGAAUUGCUCAAUUU